rnacentral:tRNA from 1 species
ACCUGGCUGACUCAGUUGGUGGAGUAUGUGACUCAUGAUCUCAGGGUUGUAAGUUUGAGCCCCAUGUUGGGUA